rnacentral:lncRNA from 1 species
CGGGCUUCCAUUUUCUUUUUUAAUGUAUAGAUUUCUAUGAUAUUAGCUUUUAGUGAUUUUAUUUAAACAUGACAUGUAAUUCUUUUCUUCCGUUUCUAAUCUUCCCCUAAUUGUUACUUUUGAUUUUAAGAUCGCCUUCUCUUGGACUAAAAUUCUCUAAAUUCUUUUGAAUUUAAUUGUGUAUCUUAUUAUGUAAAAAUCAAAAUUACAUCUAAAUAUGUUAA